rnacentral:rRNA from 1 species
CCUACGGGUGGCAGCAGUGAGGAAUAUUGGUCAAUGGACGAGAGUCUGAACCAGCCAAGUAGCGUGAAGGAUGACUGCCCUAUGGGUUGUAAACUUCUUUUAUAUGGGAAUAAAAUGUUCCACGUGUGGGAUUUUGUAUGUACCAUAUGAAUAAGGAUCGGCUAACUCCGUGCCAGCAGCCGCGGUAAUACGGAGGAUCCGAGCGUUAUCCGGAUUUAUUGGGUUUAAAGGGAGCGUAGGUGGAUUGUUAAGUCAGUUGUGAAAGUUUGCGGCUCAACCGUAAAAUUGCAGUUGAUACUGGCAGUCUUGAGUACAGUAGAGGUGGGCGGAAUUCGUGGUGUAGCGGUGAAAUGCUUAGAUAUCACGAAGAACUCCGAUUGCGAAGGCAGUUCACUGAACUGCAAUUGACACUGAGGCUCGAAAGUGUGGGUAUCAAACAGGAUUAGAUACCCGAGUAGUC